GGUAUAGUAGAAGAAGCAUGUGACUUAUAAUCAGAAGACCUGAGUUCAAGUCCCAGCUCUUCCA
rnacentral:tRNA from 1 species